rnacentral:rRNA from 1 species
AGAGUUUGAUCAUGGCUCAGAUUGAACGCUGGCGGCAUGCCUAAUACAUGCAAGUCGAACGGUAACAGGCUUUUCGGAGUGCUGACGAGUGGCGGACGGGUGAGUAACGCGUGGGAAUCUGCCCUGUAGCGGGGGACAACCUUAGGAAACUGAGGCUAAUACCGCAUACCUUCUACGGAAGAAAGUAGGCCACUGAAUAUGCUUACACUACAGGAUGAGCCCGCGUUGGAUUAACCUAGUUGGUAAGGUAAUGGGUUUACCAAGGCUACGAUCCAUAACUGGUCUGAGAGGACGACCAGUCACACCGGGACUGAGACACGGCCCGGACUCCUACGGGAGGCAGCAGUAGGGAAUAUUGGGCAAUGGGCGCAAGCCUGACCCAGCAAUGCCGCGUGUGUGAAGAAGGCCUUAGGGCUGUAAAGCACUUUCAGGAGGGAAGAAAAGGUUAGGAAUAAUACGCCUAACUCAUGACGUUACCUCCAAAAGAAGCACCGGCUAACUCUGUGCCAGCAGCCGCGGUAAUACAGAGGGUGCGAGCGUUAAUCGGAAUUACUGGGC